rnacentral:tRNA from 1 species
GAAAAUGUAAUCAUUAGUGAUAUUUCAUUUACAAUGAAAAUUUUGUUUGCAAAACCGUUUUUU